CAGCAGCCGCCGCGGGAAUACGAAGGGGGCUAGCGUUGUUCGGAAUUACUGGGCGUAAAGGGUGCGUAGGCGGCCCCGCAAGUCUCAUGUGAAAUCUUCAGGCUCAACUUGAAGUCUGCAUGGGAAACUGCGGGGCUGGAGUAUGGGAGAGGUGAGUGGAAUUCCUGGUGUAGCGGUGAAAUGCGUAGAUAUCAGGAGGAACACCUGUGGCGAAAGCGGCUCACUGGACCAUAACUGACGCUGAGGCACGAAAGCUAGGGGAGCAAACAGGAUUAGAUACCCCAGUAGUCCCUGUCUCUUAUAC
rnacentral:rRNA from 1 species